ensembl:lncRNA
CAGCCAGGUAUGCUCCGCCCCACAGUUGCCUGGCAACAGCCAACUGUGCCUGAUUAGAAAGGGCCCUGACCACAACAUGCUGGCCAUCCUUGCCUCGGCUUCUUGUGCUGCUAAACCAAGGAACUCUUCUAGUGACUUAAACCAACCAUCACAGAUAUCAAUCUGCUUGGAAAUGAGAGAUGUCUGACAUCAGCUCUGUGGAAGUUGCACAGUGGGAAAGUCCUGGCCUUGGAGUCUCAUGGUUCCCCUAACCAUCAUUCGAAAACACAGGCCCGUUCCCUGUUCUUCUGGAAACUUGAGCUCCUUAGCUUCAAAGCAAUGACCUUGAGAGUGUCCUAGGGCAGAAAAAUAUAACAAGACCCAAAAUGCAUUUCUUUAGCCUAUGUAAGGAAGCUGUUUCCUAACAUUGGGGCACUAAAAAGCCCAAAUAAAGGUAUUAUUUACCUUCAUAAAUUUUACUUAAUUACGAUGAUGAUACUAGAGUAGGCUUUUAUUCUCUCUUGUUAGUGGAGAGGACGCCACUGUGUCUCCUUUGUACUUUGGUAAUGCUGAGG